rnacentral:rRNA from 1 species
UACGGAGGGGACUCGCGGUGUUGGGAAUUACUGGGCGUAAAGCGCACGUAGGCGGAUUUGUAAGUCAGGGGUGAAAUCCCGGGGCUCAACCUCGGAACUGCCUUUGAUACUGCAAAUCUCGAGUCCGGAAGAGGUGAGUGGAAUUCCUAGUGUAGAGGUGAAAUUCGUAGAUAUUAGGAAGAACACCAGUGGCGAGGGCGGCUCACUGGUCCGGUACUGACGCUGAGUUGCGAAAGCGUGGGGAGCAAACAGG